GUGGGCGCUGUGUGAGGGGCUGCGGGAGGGCAAUGUGAGGAGGUUCCCGCCAAGUGCCGCAGCCUUCGUUCGUAGAUUCGAGUACCUCAGGGUUUGCCCGUAUCUCGCGUGUGACUGAAGGGAGAAGUUUAAGGUACAGCAACAGAAGAACCAUGGUAAUGUGAAGCUGUAGUGGUGUUGUUCUGAGAAGAAUGCAGAAGAAAAUAGAUCCCACAAAACUUUCUCUUCUUCUUGUCGCUCUGACACGAACACACUCCUCUGUGGCUGUCAGCCACUGCUGGCUGGAACAGAUGGAAGUCCUCCACAUGGUGAGUUUCAGAGCUGGGCCUU